rnacentral:rRNA from 1 species
CACUCCUACGGGAGGCAGCAGUGGGGAAUUUUGGACAAUGGGCGAAAGCCUGAUCCAGCCAUGCCGCGUGCAGGAUGAAGGCCUUCGGGUUGUAAACUGCUUUUGUACGGAACGAAACGGCCUUUUCUAAUAAAGAGGGCUAAUGACGGUACCGUAAGAAUAAGCACCGGCUAACUACGUGCCAGCAGCCGCGGUAAUACGUAGGGUGCAAGCGUUAAUCGGAAUUACUGGGCGUAAAGCGUGCGCAGGCGGUUAUGUAAGACAGUUGUGAAAUCCCCGGGCUCAACCUGGGAACUGCAUCUGUGACUGCAUAGCUAGAGUACGGUAGAGGGGGAUGGAAUUCCGCGUGUAGCAGUGAAAUGCGUAGAUAUGCGGAGGAACACCGAUGGCGAAGGCAAUCCCCUGGACCUGUACUGACGCUCAUGCACGAAAGCGUGGGGAGCAAACAGGAUUAGAAACCCGUGUAGUCCC